rnacentral:rRNA from 1 species
AUUGAACGCUGGCGGCAGGCCUAACACAUGCAAGUCGAACGAGUGGCGGACGGGUUACUUAUGUCUGGGAAACUGCCUGGUGGAUGGGGUUCACUACUGGAAACUGUAACUACUUCCGCCUACCAUCAGCUGUGCCCAGAUGGGAUGAGCUUGUUGUUGGGGUAACGGCUAACCACGGCGACGAUCCCUAGCUGGUCUGAGAGGAUGACCAGCCACACUGGAACUGAGACACGGUCCAGACUCCUACGGGAGGCAGCAGUGGGGAAUAUUGCACAAUGGGCGAAAGCCUGAUGCAGCCAUGCCGCGUGUAUGAAGAAGGUCUUCGGGUUGUAAAGUACUUUCAGCGGGGAGGCGUUACCAGCAGAAGAAGCACCGGCUAACUCCGUGCCAGCAGCCGCGGUAAUUC